rnacentral:rRNA from 1 species
GACGAACGCUGGCGGCGUGCUUAACACAUGCAAGUCGAACGGAAAGGCCCUGCUUUUGUGGGGUGCUCGAGUGGCGAACGGGUGAGUAACACGUGAGUAACCUGCCCUUGACUUUGGGAUAACUUCAGGAAACUGGGGCUAAUACCGGAUAGGAGCUCCUGCUGCAUGGUGGGGGUUGGAAAGUUUGGGCGGUUGGGGAUGGACUCGCGGCUUAUCAGCUUGUUGGUGGGGUAGUGGCUUACCAAGGCUUUGACGGGUAGCCGGCCUGAGAGGGUGACCGGCCACAUUGGGACUGAGAUACGGCCCAGACUCCUACGGGAGGCAGCAGUGGGGAAUAUUGCACAAUGGGGGGAAGCCUGAUGCAGCAACGCCGCGUGCGGGAUGACGGCCUUCGGGUGGUAAACCACUUUCGCCUGUGAUGAAGCGUGAUUGACGGUAAUGGGUAAAGAAGCACCGGCUAACUACGUG